GAGAGGAAAUCCCUGUUUUAAUAUACACCACAUGCGCAACAUGACUGUGCUGCAGCCCUCGGGAGUCAUAAUUUUGAAUGUCCUGACUUUUGUGUGUUUAAAAUCUCAACUGCAGCAUUACAACUUUUUUUUUUUUUCUUUUGUUUAUUUUUCUUCAGGAAAGAAGAAAGUAUGCUUUACCAUAUAGUCAAAAAGACUCCAUGAUGAACAGUCACAUAAAUAUCAUCCACACAUUUAUGUGCAUGAUUAAGCCAUCGGACACUCAAGAAAAUAGAACUGAGUGCAUUUAUUUGAACAACCUCCAAGGUAUUUGGUGGUACAUAAAGAAAACGGUGACAGCAAGACAUGGACCUUUUUCAUUGUUUAAAACAGUGCAACUCUUGAGUAAUUCCUCUGAAACAAAUGUAAAAUGAACGAAAGAACAAGUGACACACAUCUGAAACACUUUCUGCUUUCCCCAUCCUCAUUUUACACAAAAAAGCUGCUGAUUUUAAUUCUUGGUGAUGUACAAGAUACAUUACAAAUAUGUGUCUAGACAAAGUUCAGUGCCUUAGUGGUUUGCUAGAUAUCUAACACAAGAUGGCACAGUGCCCACACAUCCUUGUUCUAUUAGGAGAUCAUGAAGCAAAACUACUUUUCAAAGAGAUAAAGAAGAAACAAAGACAAAUGGUUCUUCUGUUGUCAUGUUAUUCUUUUCCCUAAAAGUAUUUAGUAUUGCAUUGUGCACUGUGGCUUCUACAUUAACAAAAGAGCAAGAGGACAGAAUUGGUAGAGGAUUGAAUUGGUGUGGAAGACCUGAAUUCCACAGUACACACAAAGGGUUUUGUUGCUUGUUUUGUUUUUAAAAGGACUUCUGGAGGAGCUCUAGACUAGUCCCAGACGCUGAAUGCCUUACUUGUGGCUGGCAAGCAUUAGGUGCGUUCUAGGAAUCUAUUCUCCAAUUUAGUUUAACCCAAAGGAAUCUAGUCCAUAUGCUCCAAGACAAUGAGAAGCAGAGCACAGUCAGGAUGGACAGUUCAAAGUUUUGUUUCAAAAAUGAAACAAACAAGAAUUUGCACUCAAAAUUUGCAUUACAAUGUUAACAUGGGCACACACUGUGGAAGAGUGGAAAGAUGACUUGGGUUGAUGAAUGAUGCCUUCUACAUUUUUCUCAGUGAAAAGGAAUAAACUGUAGAAAAAGCACCUAAUUUUCACUUCUUCUGUGUGUGGAAGAACCUACCAUUAAUGAACCUACAAUUGGAAAAGCUUCACGAAACGAUUGCGGUGAUUGUUCCAAGGAAGCAUGUAUGAAUUCAGACAUUAGUAUUUAGACAUUAGUCCCCUGUGACUCAGAGCCAGUAUGAACCAGAGCAUCACAUGAAGCACCAUACGAGGCUCAGAAGAAUCAAACACUAAAUAAAACCAGUCUGUUUCAUAGUGUAGCAGCUCUGAAAAUCCUGGGUAAGUCUACUCUACACGUGAUAAUCUAUGGGCUAGGCACUGUUGAGUACAGUAUAUACAGCUAACAGCAUAAAUGUACUAAGAACAUCUUAGUUUCUUCAAAGGAAACUCUUAUAUGUACUCUUUAUAGGAAACUCCUGGGUAUCUGAGAAGAAAGACAAAGCCCCUUCUUGGAUCUGUAACUGCAAUGGAUGAAAGUGAAGGGAAUUCCAUGAUUGUGUCACCAGGCACACCAGUGUAAAGGAGGAACACUUGAACCAGUUCUGGAACAGUUAGGCACAGCUUCCCAAAGAAGCAAUAGCUGAUGAAAAUUGACUGCCAUUUCCAGUUUGGCAAACUGGUUUACGGAACUUGCAGACUGAAAGCCCAGAGCGUUGCUUGGUUUUGCCAGUACCUCUUUGUGACAGCCCUCAGCACCAUCACAGCCUUUUCUCUUUCUGAUCAGAAUGCUGCACAGCCCCACCAACAGCGGGAGCUUGUCAAAUAACCAGGAACUGCAGUCCCAAGCCACAGGGGACAUGAGGAGGACAGCAGAGUAACUGGAAAAAAAAAAAAGUGAUACCUCCUUGGAAUGGUACAGUGUGAGAUGAAAUGUAGUUUAAAAUAGAGUGGAAAAUAACGUUAUUUCAGUGCAAAGUGAACUGAGAGUUGCCACUUCGUCCAGCUAUCCUGCAUGUCCAUCAUUUGCCUCUAGUUACUGAGCAACAAUGAAAAAAGUUACCUGCAUUCUCUGUAUUUCAAUAAAUUAAAUUACUCAAGCGA